rnacentral:rRNA from 1 species
AGUGAACGCUGGCGGUAGGCCUAACACAUGCACGUCGAACGGCAGCACAGUAAGAGCUUGCUCUUACGGGUGGCGAGUGGCGGACGGGUGAGGAAUACAUCGGAAUCUACUUUUUCGUGGGGGAUAACGUAGGGAAACUUACGCUAAUACCGCAUACGACCUACGGGUGAAAGCAGGGGAUCUUCGGACCUUGCGCGAUUGAAUGAGCCGAUGUCGGAUUAGCUAGUUGGCGGGGUAAAGGCCCACCAAGGCGACGAUCCGUAGCUGGUCUGAGAGGAUGAUCAGCCACACUGGAACUGAGACGCGGUCCAGACUCCUACGGGAGGCAGCAGUGGGGAAUAUUGGACAAUGGGCGCAAGCCUGAUCCAGCCAUACCGCGUGGGUGAAGAAGGCCUUCGGGUUGUAAAGCCCUUUUGUUGGGAAAGAAAAGCAGCAGGUUAAUACCCCGCUGUUCUGACGGUACCCAAAGAAUAAGCACCGGCUAACUUCGU